rnacentral:rRNA from 1 species
AACGAACGCUGGUGGCGUGUUUUAUACAUGCAAGUCGAGCGAGGACAGUAGCUUGCUACUGAGCCGAGCGGCGAACGGGUGAGUAACGCGUAAGCAAUCUGCCCCACAAUCGGGAACAACCGUGCCAACGCGCGGCUAAUGCCGGAUAUUGUGUCCUACUGCAUAGUAGGUUAACGAAAGAUUUAUCGUUGUGGGAUGAGCUUGCGUCCGAUUAGCUAGUUGGCGGGGUAAAGGCCCACCAAGGCGACGAUCCGUAGCUGGUCUGAGAGGAUGAUCAGCCACACUGGAACUGAGACACGGUCCAGACUCCUACGGGAGGCAGCAGUGGGGAAUAUUGGACAAUGGGCGCAAGCCUGAUCCAGCAAUGCCGCGUGUGUGAAGAAGGCCUUCGGGUUGUAAAGCACUUUUAUCAGGAACGAAAGACGUUGGAUUAAUACUCUGACGUGCUGACGGUACCUGAGGAAUAAGCACCGGCUAACUUCGUG